rnacentral:other from 1 species
AACAAGCUGCAUUGUGCGUAUGAAUAUUAAGUUUAAACCUUUAAGCUGUAACAGGGAGUUUGAACUGGGGACAGGAAUGACAUGCCUCAUUCUCUUCGGACAAUGAGGACACGCAGGAGCGUUUCCGAAAACACCCACUUUGAGAAGUGGUGGUUUUAAACUUUCUUACGAAAUACGGCAAACGCGGCUUUCUA